rnacentral:rRNA from 1 species
UACGUAGGGCGCAAGCGUUGUCCGGAAUUAUUGGGCGUAAAGAGCUCGUAGGCGGUUUGUCGCGUCUGCUGUGAAAACCUAAGGCUCAACCUUGGGCUUGCAGUGGGUACGGGCAGACUAGAGUGCGGUAGGGGUGACUGGAAUUCCUGGUGUAGCGGUGGAAUGCGCAGAUAUCAGGAGGAACACCGGUGGCGAAGGCGGGGUCUCUGGGCAGUAACUGACGCUGGAGGAGCGAAAGCGUGGGGAGCGAACAGG